rnacentral:pre_miRNA from 1 species
GCAUUUUGGGCGUGUGAUUUGUGGCAAAGUGAUGAGCUUGAUUCCAUCCCCUUGUUGCAAACCUCACGCCGAAGGUGG